UGAUGGUGGGUUGUGUUUAGGAGUAGUAUUAACAUGAGACAGUGAUGGUGGGUUGUGUUUAGGAGUAGUAUUAACAUGAGACACAGUGAUGGUGGGUUGUGUUUAGGAGUAGUAUUAACAUGAGACACAGUGAUGGUGGGUUGUGUUUAGGAGUAGUAUUAACAUGAGACACAGUGAUGGUGGGUUGUGUUUAGGAGUAGUAUUAACAUGAGACACAGUGAUGGUGGGUUGUGUUUAGGAGUAGUAUUAACAUGAGACACAGUGAUGGUGGGUUGUGUUUAGGAGUAGUAUUAACAUGAGACAGUGAUGGUGGGUUGUGUUUAGGAGUAGUAUUAACAUGAGACACAGUGAUGGUGGGUUGUGUUUAGGAGUAGUAUUAACAUGAGACACAGUGAUGGUGGGUUGUGUUUAGGAGUAGUAUUAACAUGAGACAGUGAUGGUGGGUUGUGUUUAGGAGUAGUAUUAACAUGAGACAGUGAUGGUGGGUUGUGUUUAGGAGUAGUAUUAACAUGAGACACAGUGAUAGUGGGUUGUGUUUAGGAGUAGUAUUAACAUGAGACACAGUGAUGGUGGGUUGUGUUUAGGAGUAGUAUUAACAUGAGACACAGUGAUGGUGGGUUGUGUUUAGGAGUAGUAUUAACAUGAGACACAGUAAUGGUGGGUUGUGUUUAGGAGUAGUAUUAACAUGAGACAGUGAUGGUGGGUUGUGUUUAGGAGUAGUAUUAACAUGAGACAGUGAUGGUGGGUUGUGUAUAGGAGUAGUAUUAACAUGAGACACAGUGAUGGUGGGUUGUGUUUAGGAGUAGUAUUAACAUGAGACAGUGAUGGUGGGUUGUGUUUAGGAGUAGUAUUAACAUGAGACACAGUGAUGGUGGGUUGUGUUUAGGAGUAGUAUUAACAUGAGACACAGUGAUGGUGGGUUGUGUUUAGGAGUAGUAUUAACAUGAGACACAGUGAUGGUGGGUUGUGUUUAGGAGUAGUAUUAACAUGAGACACAGUGAUGGUGGGUUGUGUUUAGGAGUAGUAUUAACAUGAGACACAGUGAUGGUGGGUUGUGUUUAGGAGUAGUAUUAACAUGAGACACAGUGAUGGUGGGUUGUGUAUAGGAGUAGUAUUAACAUGAGACAGUGAUGGUGGGUUGUGUCACAGAAAAACACAGCCAUUUUUCCAGCCAAAGAGUGGACUCACAAAAAGCAGAAACAGAGAAUUAAUCAAAUUAAUCACUAACCUUUGAUGAUCUUCAUCAG